AAUCUAUAGAAGUGUUUUCCGUGCUGGCUCAUGUACAAGUCCCUUGGAACAGGGCGUCAUAGAGGGUGAGAAUCCCGUCCUUGACAUGAACUACCAGUGCUCUGUGAUACAUUUUCAACGAGUCGAGUUGUUUGGGAAUGCAGCUCAAAAUGGGUGGUAAAUUCCAUCUAAAGCUAAAUAUUGGCGAGAGACCGAUAGCGAACAAGUACCGUGAGGGAAAGAUGAAAAGCACUUUGGAAAGAGAGUUAAACAGUAUGUGAAAUUGUUAAAAGGGAAACGAUUGAAGUCAGUCGUGCUCUUUGGAUUCAGCCGGUUCUGCCGGUGUACUUCCUUUGAGUGGGGUCAACAUCAGUUUUGAUCGCUGGAUAAAGGCUGGAGGAACGUAGCACCCCCGGGUGAACUUAUAGCCUCCUGUCACAUACA
rnacentral:rRNA from 1 species